rnacentral:sRNA from 1 species
UCUUUGUAGAGAUAGGACGUAUUUUAGUUUUGAGUUAGAAUUUGUUGAGAUCAGUCUUGUGUUUUAUUAAAUCUAGGAGUAAAUUUUAGUAUUUUUAUUACUGAAUUGUGAAACAAAGUUAUUCAUCUGAUACAGUUUUAUUUCUGUACACUCUGUAAAUACAGUGAUUCCUAGUUAUUGAAUCAAAGUUCUGUAUUUGAUGUAUAAAGGAUCUUCAUUUAUUGAAUCUCUUAGAUAGUAUUUAGAUCUAGAUAUAUACAUCUAUAGAAUCCUUGGCAUCACAGUUGCAAGAUAUCAGCACCCCUGACGAAUUCGGCAAAGAUCAACUAACAAGAGAGAAACUUACAUACAAUGACAGUCAAGCUCUUUAACGGAAGAUCGUUAGAGUCAUUUUUGAGACCAGCGUCCGCCCACCCUUCAUGAUGGAAUGACUUGAAUAAAGCAACGUCCGCCAUAGAUCAACAGCAGGUAGUGAGGA